UGUUCCUGGAGGUCCAUGCAGAAGAAUAAUGCGAUUCCAGGAUACAAGGAAGGAAUUUACUCUCUUUUCAGUGAAAAGCAAAGCACUUGCAGCAUAUCGCAACAAUCUUUGCUUGAGACCAGAUUCGUAUAUUAAGCUUUCCCACAUUCCAUUAAAUUCUUUUGCAGGAAGAAUCCAUUCAUUAAAUGUAGAAAGCUGUCCAUCCCCACUUAAUUCUUCACAUGGUCCUUCCUCGCUAAGCUGAAAUACAUGAACAACUGGUUUUACUUGCCAGAAUAGAAGGAUAUCUCGG
rnacentral:misc_RNA from 1 species